rnacentral:rRNA from 1 species
UUCUUGGUAUGUCUGGCCACUGCCUGAUGGAGGGGGAUAACUACUGGAAACGGUAGCUAAUACCGCAUAACGUCGCAAGACCAAAGAGGGGGACCUUCGGGCCUCUUGCCAUCGGAUGUGCCCAGAUGGGAUUAGCUAGUAGGUGGGGUAACGGCUCACCUAGGCGACGAUCCCUAGCUGGUCUGAGAGGAUGACCAGCCACACUGGAACUGAGACACGGUCCAGACUCCUACGGGAGGCAGCAGUGGGGAAUAUUGCACAAUGGGCGCAAGCCUGAUGCAGCCAUGCCGCGUGUAUGAAGAAGGCCUUCGGGUUGUAAAGUACUUUCAGCGGGGAGGAAGGGAGUAAAGUUAAUACCUUUGCUCAUUGACGUUACCCGCAGAAGAAGCACCGGCUAACUCCGUGCCAGCAGCCGCGGUAAUACGGAGGGUGCAAGCGUUAAUCGGAAUUACUGGGCGUAAAGCGCACGCAGGCGGUUUGUUAAGUCAGAUGUGAAACCCCCCGGGCUCAAA